UACGUAGGGGGGCAAGCGUUGUCCGGAUUUAUUGGGCGUAAAGAGCGUGUAGGCGGUUAGGUAGGUCCGUUGUGAAAACUCGAGGCUCAACCUCGAGACGCCGAUGGAAACCAUCUAACUAGAGUCCGGAAGAGGAGAAUGGAAUUCCUGGUGUAGCGGUGAAAUGCGCAGAUAUCAGGAAGAACACCCAGUGGCGAAGG
rnacentral:rRNA from 1 species